rnacentral:rRNA from 1 species
GACGAACGCUGGCGGCGUGCCUAAUACAUGCAAGUAGAACGCUGAAGGAGGAGCUUGCUCUUCUGGAUGAGUUGCGAACGGGUGAGUAACGCGUAGGUAACCUGCCUGGUAGCGGGGGAUAACUAUUGGAAACGAUAGCUAAUACCGCAUAAGAGUAGAUGUUGCAUGACAUUUACUUAAAAGGUGCAAUUGCAUCACUACCAGAUGGACCUGCGUUGUAUUAGCUAGUUGGUGGGGUAACGGCUUACCAAGGCGACGAUACAUAGCCGACCUGAGAGGGUGAUCCGCCACACUGGGACUGGGACACGGCCCAGACUCCUACGGGAGGCAGCAGUAGGGAAUCUUCGGCAAUGGACGGAAGUCUGACCGAGCAACGCCGCGUGAGUGAAGAAGGUUUUCGGAUCGUAAAGCUCUGUUGUAAGAGAAGAACGAGUGUGAGAGUGGAAAGUUCACACUGUGACGGUAUCUUACCAGAAAGGGACGGCUAACUACGUG